AUUAAUAAAAAAAAACCAAGAUUUAGAAAACCCAUGAAACACGGCAUCAGCCGAUUCUUCAGUCUUCCCACUUCUCAAAUAGCUAAGCUAACACAGAAGAAGUUUCUCUCGAUUUUUUCUUCACUUUCUCGCCAUCUUUCCCGGAAAAUCUCCGAUCAGUUGUAGAUGUUAAAUAAGGAAGGUGAUGGAGGAAAGGAGUAUUUUCGCAAACUUUCGAGAAAAGAACUUCAAAGUUUGUGUAAGCAAUGUAGCUUGCCUGCUAGAAAAUCAAGCUCUGAAAUGGUCGAAUCACUUGCUUUUUACUUUAUGAGGAAGGGUUUGAAUUUGGUAUCUUCAGGCACAAGCAUAGAUGGGGUUCAAGAUGCUUUACUUCACACAUCUUUGAUGCCACCAAUGCAGCCUAAGCCUGCAUUAAAUUCUAUAAAAGAUAGCUUUGAACUCACAUCUCGUCCUGGAGAGGAGAUUUACAAAGGAAAUAGAAAUUUCAAAUGCAAUAAUUUGGAAAGUUUUAUUGGCCCUGGAGCUUAUAAUAAGGAAAGCUUUGGUGGCUUAAUUAGUAAUUUCCAAGAGGUAUCUCCAUCUCAGUUUUUUUCUCAAUACGCUGGGAGUCAUAUCAACUUUAAGAAGCCAUUAAGCCUUGGUGGCAGGGUAGAAGAUUCACCCCAAUUUCAUGGUAGAGACAUAAAUACUGUAGCCUGUUCUAAAGAGAUUGCCCUUCCUUCUAUUAUAACUACUGCAAAUGUUCCGGCAUCUUUUGAAUUUCAUGUCAGUUCAGAAGAGGGGAUCAAACUUUGUGUUGAUUUGAAUUCAAGCCCAUUAGAGUGGAUUAAGAAAUAUAAAAAUCAGGUUUCGUUCUGCGACAAUGUGGUUAAUACAAAGUCUCGAAGUCUUUAUGAAGAGCUUGGGUGUAUUGGAGAGAGUAAUAAAAAACUGAAAAGUUCUGUACUUCAAAAUAUUGAUUCUGACAAAAAUAGGGAUGACUCUGUGCAAGCUGAACCUUCUCCGAGUUCAGUUGGAGAAAAAAAUAGUCAUGUGAGGAAUGGUCAUCCAGAUGGAGGUAAUAAUUCCCUAAUCUCAUCACCUGUAAUACCAUGCAGUGUAGCUGUCGAUGUUUCCUUGUACUUAAAGGAGGAUCCAGGACUUGCCUCAGCCAAACCCAGUUCUGACGGGCAGAAUCACAAAAAUUUGAACACUGAAUCCUGUAGCGAAAAGGAGUGCAUAGCUGCCCUUGACUCAGAUAUUACUGAUACUCCAUUAGAAAAGACAGCCUGCAAUUUUGCUGUCAACUCCAUAUCCAAUGGUUCCGUAGAUCAUAUUGCAUUGAUGCAUCAGAGUUCAAAGUGGGAUGAUGAAGUCUGUGAGAAUUCAACCCAGCAGAACAGUUGUAAUCUUGAGAAUGCUAGUGUUGCAUUUCCUGGGUGCUUUAUGGAGAUGCAGUUAUCAGAAACUGGGAAUUAUCACAAAGAUGCAUCAUGUUUACCUCAUAAAAAUGGCGAAUUCUUGGAUCCAUAUGAUUCAAAGCAUAAUAGAGGAUCUGAGCAAGAUGGAUUAGCCAACUCAAGUGAGAAUGAUCAUUGCAAGAACCAGGUGCCCACAUGCUCCGAAGAGCAGGAAUGGAGCAAUGCUAUCAAUGGCAGGGAGAGUUCAGUAUGCUCGCAGGUUGAUGACUCAUUUGAUAAGACUUCUUUAAAGUCUGGUGUUAUCAAAUCAAGUGAAGAACUCCUUAGAAAGAGGCCACAUAUAUACAGAGUGGGUCAGAAUGGCCGUCGCAAAAGCGACACGGUAAUUUUGAGAAGCACAAGGCGUUCUGCUGGAAAAGUCCUUCCUAGAAGAUCCAUGAGGCUAGUCUCUAAGUGAUUUCACGUUCUACAUGCUGCCUGCAUCAGAACAAUUGGAUUGAUAUUAUUGUCUGGCUGUUUCCAAAUUUAGGGUACAGUUUAUGUUGCAGAUUCUACAUUUUUUGGAGAUCAGUUCAUACACGAAAGAAAACUACAACGCAUUCUUCAAGGUAGUUAAAGCCUUAUAAUUUUUCUUCUGCCACACAGCAGUCACAAAAGCAAUCUGAUUACGGAAUUUCAUGGUAAUUCGGUAGAUAUCAAAUUGUUGUUUUUUUAUCAUAAAUUAUCUGUACCAUAUUUUUUUUUUACUGAAUGGAUUUGUAUAUUUUUGGAAUUUUCUAACUUCUGAUUCUUUUAUGAAUUUCUUAAACAAAAUAUUCUUGGAAUAUUAUUCAUCUUUGCCUUGA